rnacentral:rRNA from 1 species
GACGAACGCUGGCGGCGUGCCUAAUACAUGCAAGUUGAGCGCUGAAGGUUGGUACUUGUACCAACUGGAUGAGCAGCGAACGGGUGAGUAACGCGUGGGGAAUCUGCCUUUGAGCGGGGGACAACAUUUGGAAACGAAUGCUAAUACCGCAUAAAAACUUUAAACACAAGUUUUAAGUUUGAAAGAUGCAAUUGCAUCACUCAAAGAUGAUCCCGCGUUGUAUUAGCUAGUUGGUGAGGUAAAGGCUCACCAAGGCGAUGAUACAUAGCCGACCUGAGAGGGUGGUCGGCCACAUUGGGACUGAGACAAGGCCCAAACUCCUACGGGAGGCAGCAGUAGGGAAUCUUCGGCAAUGGACGAAAGUCUGACCGAGCAACGCCGCGUGAGUGAAGAAGGUUUUCGGAUCGUAAAACUCUGUUGGUAGAGAAGAACGUUGGUGAGAGUGGAAAGCUCAUCAAGUGACGGUAACUACCCAGAAAGGGACGGCUAACUACGUG